rnacentral:rRNA from 1 species
CGAAGGAUUCGAGCGUUAUCCGGAUUUAUUGGGUUUAAAGGGUGCGUAGGCGGACUGAUAAGUCAGUGGUGAAAGCCUGUUGCUUAACAACAGAACUGCCAUUGAUACUGCCAGUCUUGAGUACAGUUGAGGUAGGCGGAAUGUGUCAUGUAGUGGUGAAAUACUUAGAUAUGACACAGAACACCGAUUGCGAAGGCAGCUUGCUAAACUGUAACUGACGCUGAGGCACGAAAGCAUGGGGAGCAAACAGG